rnacentral:rRNA from 1 species
UACGUAGGCAGCAAGCGUUGUUCGGAGUUACUGGGCGUAAAGGGUGUGUAGGCGGUUAUUUAAGUUUGGUGUGAAAUCUCCCGGCUCAACCGGGAGGGUGCGCCGAAUACUGAAUGACUUGGAGUGCGGGAGAGGAAAGUGGAAUUCCUGGUGUAGCGGUGAAAUGCGCAGAUAUCAGGAGGAACACCCGUAGCGAAGGCGGCACUCUGGGCCGAUACUGACACUGAGGAGCGAAAGCGUGGGGAGCGAACAGG